rnacentral:sRNA from 1 species
GCUGGGCGUGGUGCCGCUCGCCUGUAAUCAGCCACUCCGGAGGCUGAGGCAGGAGGACUAGCCUCAGCAAAUUAGCGCGACCCUGUCUCAA